GCGCCGGUGGUGCAAUGGCGUUGAGCAUUCCCGCCCGGUCAGAGGGAGGUGCGGGUUCGAGUCCCGCCUGGCGCU
rfam:Heligmosomoides polygyrus genome assembly, scaffold: HPBE_scaffold0001659